GCCGGAGUAGCUCAGUUGGUAGAGCAGCUGAUUUGUAAUCAGCUUGUCGUGGGUUCAAUUCCUAUCUCCGGCU
rnacentral:tRNA from 1 species